rnacentral:rRNA from 1 species
CCUACGGGAGGCAGCAGUGAGGAAUAUUGGUCAAUGGGCGGAAGCCUGAACCAGCCAAGUAGCGUGCAGGAUGACGGCCCUACGGGUUGUAAACUGCUUUUAUACGGGAAUAACGCGCCUUACGUGUAGUGCUUUGCAUGUACCGUAUGAAUAAGGACCGGCUAAUUCCGUGCCAGCAGCCGCGGUAAUACGGAAGGUCCGGGCGUUAUCCGGAUUUAUUGGGUUUAAAGGGUUCGCAGGCGGAAGUUUAAGUCAGCGGUAAAAUUGCGGUGCUCAACACCGGCCUGCCGUUGAAACUGGUCUUCUUGAGUGAGCGAGAAGUAUGCGGAAUGCGUGGUGUAGAGGUGAAAUGCAUAGAUAUCACGCAGAACUCCGAUUGCGAAGGCAGCAUACCGGCGCUCAACUGACGCUGAGGCACGAAAGCGUGGGGAUCGAACAGGAUUAGAUACCCGAGUAGUC